CGCGUAGGCUGUCCUGUAAGCGGUGUGUGAAAGCCCGGGGCUCAACCCCGGAACUGCAUACCGAACUGCAGGGCUAGAGAACGAGAGGGGACUAUGGAACUCUAGGUGGAGCGGUGAAAUGCGUAGAUAUCUAGAGGAACGCCGGUGGCGAAAGCGAUAGUAUGGCUCGUUUCUGACGCUGAGGCGCGAAAGCGUGGGUAGCAAACAGGAUUAGAUACCCUGGUAGUCC
rnacentral:rRNA from 1 species